rnacentral:rRNA from 1 species
UGGGGAAUAUUGCACAAUGGGGAAGACCCUGAUGCAGCAACGCCGCGUGAAGGAAGACGGUUUUCGGAUUGUAAACUUCUGUUCUUAGUGAAGAAUAAUGACGGUAGCUAAGGAGCAAGCCACGGCUAACUACGUGCCAGCAGCCGCGGUAAUACGUAGGUGGCAAGCGUUGUCCGGAAUUACUGGGUGUAAAGGGAGCGCAGGCGGGAGACCAAGUCAGCUGUGAAAACUACGGGCUUAACCUGUAGACUGCAGUUGAAACUGGUUUUCUUGAGUGAAGUAGAGGUUGGCGGAAUUCCGAGUGUAGCGGUGAAAUGCGUAGAUAUUCGGAGGAACACCGGUGGCGAAGGCGGCCAACUGGGCUUUAACUGACGCUGAGGCUCGAAAGUGUGGGGAGCAAACAGGAUUAGAUACC